GACCCGGGCAACAUCGUCAAACUGCGGGAAAGCCCUGCCACGACUCUCGGGACCUCACCGCCCCAGCAAUGGAAGCGGGUGCCUGCGGCCAACGGCCGCGGGUACGGUAAAGCACCGAAGUCUAGGGGCGAUCCGCCGCCAAACCCUCCCCGCACCGGGAGGGCCCAGCUCACAGGCCAGACGGCGAUGGGCGCUCUCGCGCUUAAGAUAUGGUCGAGUGACUCGCCGAGAGGCGGGUGCAACUCAGGAACGUCCGUAGGUGAACCUGCGGAAGGAUCAUU
rnacentral:rRNA from 1 species